rnacentral:misc_RNA from 1 species
CCCAGGUAGUUAAAUUGCCUCCAAUUAUAAGGCCUACAAUUGAGAUGGCAAAGAAACAAAGAAAGAAGCAAAGAGCCUUGCUCCUCCAAGGCUUGUCCUUAUAAUUAGAUGUUUGAUUACUGCCCAAAAGAUGAAAUUGUAGGCUUUGUCGCUCCAUGAUUCCUCUUGUUUGUGGCUUUCACAGAAGAGGCCAGAGAGGAAACAGAUGCAGAGCAGUUGGAGCGCUAGGUUCUUUGUUGG